ensembl:scaRNA
CUGCUGCUGAUGACGUGACCACUGAACUGAGUUCUAGAAACUGACAUGUUGGAGAGUACUGAGAACAGAGUGAAGCCA